CCUACGGGUGGCAGCAGUGAGGAAUAUUGGUCAAUGGCCGGAAGGCUGAACCAGCCAUGCCGCGUGAAGGUCAGUGCCCUAUGGGCGUUAAACUUCUUUUGUGCGGGAGCAAUAAUGGUCACGUGUGGCCAGACGAGAGUACCGUACGAAUAAGCAUCGGCUAACUCCGUGCCAGCAGCCGCGGUAAUACGGGGGAUGCAAGCGUUAGCCGGGUUUAUUGGGUUUAAAGGGUGCGUAGGCUGUGAGGUAAGUCAGCGGUGAAAUGCCCCCGCUCAACGGGGUGAAGUGCCAUUGAUACUGGCUGGCUGGAAUGCGGAUGACGUGGGAGGAAUGUGUGGUGUAGCGGUGAAAUGCAUAGAUAUCACACAGAACACCGAUUGCGAAGGCAUCUCACGGAUCCGCGAUUGACGCUGAUGCACGAAAGCGUGGGUAUCAAACAGGAUUAGAUACCCCAGUAGUC
rnacentral:rRNA from 1 species